GAACACGAGAAGGUCACAUUGCCCUGGAGGGGAGCAGGAGGAAAAAAAAAAGAAGAGCAUAAAUAAAAUAAAAAAACAAAAAUAUUCACGCGCAGUUUUAGCGUCCUGUCAGGAGAGGACGCUCUCGCGGGAAUUCCCCCGCGGUGCGUCUGCAAAUGUCAUGACAGCCGACGGUUAGAGCGGCGUGACCUUAUUCCAACCGCACCAGAAAUAUUAAUGAGGCGGAGUACCUGUCACACGCAGCAGCAGCCUGUAUGAGCAGAGAAAUUCAUGAAAUUUAUGUACCAACGCUGCAACAUCGCAGAGCACAAAAAUAAAAAAUUUAUUUAGUUCCACAGCGACCCGCCCCGAGGGCCACAGCCUGGCGGGGUGUGGGUCCGAAAGAAAGACUGUUCUACACAAGUGGUGGACUCUACCGGUCAAAGGUCAUGAGCUUUUUUUCAUCGGUUUGACUUUUAUUAUCGGCUGCCCCUCAUCUCCCCCAUUUUAACCCCUCAUCCCCCAUCUCUAACAUCCCACUCUCUCUCUCUCUCUUCUUUUCUUCCGUCCGUUCUAACAUGGAAUGCAUCCAAAUAUACUUUUCAGAAAUAAAGCUUAGCCUCAAAUACAAAAGGGGUUUAUACAAAUAUACUCCGAGUAUAAACCCGUAAUGCAACAGUAAAAUCUGUUCAACCCAAGAGGCCUUCAGCUCUGAUCGGUUUACUCAUCUGUUGGAGAAAUAAAUAAAAAAGCUGAAUUCUGUCAUCUGGGCGCCUCAUUGGUGGAAGGUUGGCUCACAGUGACGCAUCAAAUGUCUGCUUAAUGCUGUUCAUACAAUGAAAGCACACCUGGAGCCGGCUGAUCCACGGAUGUAUGCAGGUCAGAAGGAUUUAUGGAGUUUAUGCAACAAACCUCUGUACCUAUUUAUGCAGCAGUUUUCCGCUCCACUGUGUUAUGUUUAUUCCUUACAGAAAUUCAACUCAACCUCUGAGCAGCAGCCCCUGUCAUAAUGGGUCCCCACAUUAUGACAUCACAAAACACGCAGCAGAGGCCGGCUCAAGGUUGACGUCAUAAAAAGGUGCGACACUCACAAGGAGAGAAAGGCGGAGCCUCAGAGAUCGAGUCGUCUUGCUUACGGAUAGAAAAAGGAUGAAUUUAGUUUAAAAGGCCAAAGAAAAGCGUGAGACCCUUUAGGGUUUGCUUUGGUAACAAACCUCGUCCAAGCAGAGCCAAGUUUUAGCUGUCAUGUUUUGGGGUCAAAGGGUCACUGGAGUCUAUGCAGCCUCUGUUCAGGUGAAUGCAAACAUUCCAGCUGUUUGGCUCAGUCCUCACUGCAGAAUAUAUGUUUGGAGGCUGUAGAGUUAACUCCAAAGAAUUGGAUUUUAAACCAGCUUUCCAGGGCUCAAAUGUCACUAAAUGACAGCCAGCACCACCUCCUCCCUCCACGUCCCCAGGACCACCUUAAAUCACGGAAUGAUGUGUAAAAGUUUGGAGACGGUUCCCACCUGUAUCUCCUUUGAACAAAGUAAGUCCAAUUCCCUCACUGCUUAGUGCACCAUGUAGUGCAUUCGCCAUUUUGUUGGUAAUCUGCAAUUUCAAAUUUCAGUGCCCUGGAAAUUUCCCAGAAGUCUCGGUGAGCAUCGAUGCUCACUAG